CAGCCGCCGCGGUAAUACGAGGGGGGCAAGCGUUGUUCGGAAUUAUUGGGCGUAAAGGGUGCGUAGGCGGUUUGACAAGUCUUAUGUGAAAUCUAUGGGCUCAACCCAUAGUCUGCAUGAGAAACUGUCGGGCUUGAGAGUGGGAGAGGUGAGUGGAAUUUCCGGUGUAGCGGUGAAAUGCGUAGAUAUCGGAAGGAACACCUGUGGCGAAAGCGGCUCACUGGACCAUUUCUGACGCUGAUGCACGAAAGCUAGGGGAGCAAACAGGAUUAGAUACCCCCGUAGUCCCUGUCUCUUAUAC
rnacentral:rRNA from 1 species